AGCUGGGACUAAAGACCAAGGACUGAAUGUUGCUGGAGCUAGACUGUUGCCCAACAUGGAGCUAAAAUCCAGCUGAAAUCCAGCUCUGGUGGCAACAACCUGUGUCACUGAAAAAUUUUCUGAAAGCCACAGACAAACCACAGCCUUCCUGCUAGGCUACAUUGGCCUGAAUUUCAUCUCCAACAGCUGUAAAGCAGUGGUUUGGGAUGUGCUCUUGGACAUGCGGAGGGAAAAUGCUGGCAGCUGCCAGGGUCCUUCACAGCUCACUAAAUGUGUAUAGCUGCGGCUCCUGCCCUCCAUCCUCACCGAGUCAGCCAAAAUAGCAGCCACAUCCAUUUUUCUCCCCGAAAGGCUCUGCUUGAAGGCAAGGGGCUGGGGACACGGCUGUUUCCAUAUCUCCCUGGCCAGGCUCUGCUGAGGAGCCCUCGCGUUUGGACCAAUUUACUGUUCCUGCUGCCGGGUGAGAACAGUGUUAGGAAACCAUGUUAGCAGUUUCUUUACUCUCUAAUGUCAGCAUGUGAAUACUGUCAUCCCUGAGCCAGAAUUCAGUCAGCUGGCUCCCAAAACUUUUUUUAUAUGAAUUUCAGAGAUAGAAAAAGUCCACGGAGCCAUCCACUCGUCUCUGGAAAACUGGCUGGCACAGGGGCAGGAAGCUGCACACCCGCAGGGGCUGGGGGAGCCUCACACCUCUGCUCCAGUCGCCCCGUCCAUCUCCAUCUCACGGAGGACAGCCACAGUGCAGCAGUCCUAGAGGUAGAUGGGGUACCAGCCGCUCAGGAUGAACCUGCUGGCUAACAGCUCCCGGCAGCUCUGCGCUCCUAGGUACAUAUUAAACCGAGAAUUAACUACUGAUGGGUGAACUGGAAAAGGAAACUAGCAUUGCUGGCAAGGUUGUAACUGUUUUAGGGGCUUUAAAAUUUAUAAAUAUGGGGAAAGGGAAGUGCUGACAAUACUUGGGUAUAUCUCGGCUGGGCAUGAGUCUUAUUCUCAGAUUGUUCAUUUUUUUAGGCAGAGGUGUGCACAAGAAUUUAUUCAGAGACACAUGUAUCUGUUUAAAGAGACUGACCGAACCACAUGUUUCUCAAAUCCCAUCAUUUAAAUUCAACUCUAAGCAGCUUUUCUCUUUGGCUUUUUUUUAAGUAAAGGAUCCUUGUAGACUUGUGUAGUUAGCAAAAAUAAAAUUUUAUGACAGAUGUGAUAUAAAAGACCAGACAUGAUGCAGCAAAAAAGGAGACAAGAAGAUGGCCUUUUUUAGGAAACACCCACCUUUUCUACACACUAGGUCCGGCACAUCUGUCAGAAAAAUACAAAGCGCCUAAGUAAGUAGAGACCAGAAAACCUGUGUAACCUCUUUAUUUCUCUUGUGCAGUAAAACAAUAAAAUUAACUGCCCUGUUUUGCAGCUAUUACUAAA